rnacentral:rRNA from 1 species
UACGUAGGGGGCAAGCGUUGUCCGGAAUCAUUGGGCGUAAAGAGCGUGUAGGCGGUCCUGUAAGUCCGCUGUGAAAGUCAAGGGCUCAACCCUUGAAUGCCGGUGGAUACUGCAGGGCUAGAGUCCGGAAGAGGCGAGUGGAAUUCCUGGUGUAGCGGUGAAAUGCGCAGAUAUCAGGAGGAACACCGAUGGCGAAGGCAGCUCGCUGGGACGGUACUGACGCUGAGGCGCGAAAGCGUGGGGAGCAAACAGG